GUCAGAAUGGCCGAGCGGUCUAAGGCGCCAGACUCAAGGUACAAACCUUCCUAUAGAGAGGAUUCUGGUCUCCAGAUGGAGGCGUGGGUUCAAAUCCCACUUCUGGCA
rnacentral:tRNA from 1 species